rnacentral:rRNA from 1 species
CAGUAGGGAAUCUUCCACAAUGGACGAAAGUCUGAUGGAGCAACGCCGCGUGAGUGAAGAAGGGUUUCGGCUCGUAAACUCUGUUGUUAAAGAAGAACAUAUCUGAGAGUAACUGUUCAGGUAUUGACGGUAUUUAACCAGAAAGCCACGACUAACUACGUGCCAG